CUACGUGCCAGCAGCCGCGGUAAUACGUAGGGUGCGAGCGUUAAUCGGAAUUACUGGGCGUAAAGCGAGCGCAGACGGUUACUUAAGCAGGAUGUGAAAUCCCCGGGCUCAACCUGGGAACUGCGUUCUGAACUGGGUGACUAGAGUGUGUCAGAGGGAGGUAGAAUUCCACGUGUAGCAGUGAAAUGCGUAGAGAUGUGGAGGAAUACCGAUGGCGAAGGCAGCCUCCUGGGAUAACACUGACGUUCAUGCUCGAAAGCGUGGGUAGCAAACAGGAUUAGAUACCCUGGUAGUCCACGCCCUAAACGAUGUCAAUUAGCUGUUGGGCAACUUGAUUGCUUAGUAGCGUAGCUAACGCGUGAAAUUGACCGCCUGGGGAGUACGACCGCAAGGUUGAAACUCAAAGGAAUUGACGGGGGCCCGCACAAGCGGUGGAGCAUGUGGUUUAAUUCGAAGCAACGCGAAGAACCUUACCAGGUCUUGACAUCCCUCUGACCGCUCUAGAGAUAGAGCUUUCUUCGGGACA
rnacentral:rRNA from 1 species